CCCCUCUCAUGGUCAUACCUGGAGAGUUUCUAGUACUCUAUCAGUCUCGGCUACAGGAGAGACAGUCAAGCAGAGGCCUACCCAUUCCAUUCCUAGCUUGGGCAGUGGCUAGCAAGUGGAAGGCAAUCUGCUCCAAGU